GGACGUGAGGGCUAUCUGGCUGCAACAUCUGUCCCCCCACUAAUCACCAGGUUGAUUCAGCUGAUCUGGCUGGCUACCGGGUGUCCCCUUCUCCCUCACCACUCCAUGCGCAUCCUUCCAAGGGUGGACGAGGAGGACCAUCCCCUAUAGAGUACUACCAUUCUUCUUCGGUCAAGGGUAUGUGAGCAACUGUGCUUCCCUGCCUCCUCCAAACACGCUCUCAAAACACACUAACAGAGUAAAUCAUUUACCCUGAAAGAUUUAAAAGGAAAAUAGAAAACAGUAGAAAACAAUUACAAAUGACUAUAGAAGACCUUAGCUAUUGAUAAUUACUUU
rnacentral:sRNA from 1 species